rnacentral:rRNA from 1 species
UGAACGCUAGCGGUAUGCUUAACACAUGCAAGUCGUACGGGAGUUUUUAACUCAAGUGGCGGACGGGUGAGUAACACGUGAGAAUUUACCUUUAGGAGGGGGAUAACAAUUGGAAACGAUUGCUAAUACCCCAUAUGCUUUUUUUAAGUGAAACGGAUUUAUUCGCCUAAAGAAAAGCUCGCGGCUGAUUAGCUAGUUGGUAAGGUAAUGGCUUACCAAGGCGACGAUCAGUAUCUGGUUUGAGAGGAUGAUCAGACACACUGGAACUGAGACACGGUCCAGACUCCUACGGGAGGCAGCAGUGGGGAAUUUUCCGCAAUGGGCGAAAGCCUGACGGAGCAAUACCGCGUGAGGGAAGACUGCCUAUGGGUUGUAAACCUCUUUUUUCAGGGAGGAAUAAAAUGACGUGUACCUGAAGAAUAAGCAUCGGCUAACUCCGUGCCAGCAG